GAGUUGGGCAGGCGGUAGGGGCGACCUGGGAGAAGGUCCCUGCUGCAGACGUGGAAAUGCAUCUUGUUCCAGUACAUCACAUUCCAGGGAGCAAAGAAUUCUUUUACAAAGCCGGGUGUCAUCAUUUUCUUAGAAGAAGAACCAUUGCAACAGGGCUCAAAGUUGACUCUGCUGGAAAGGCAAGGGACAGGGAAAUGAUGAUAACAUAAGCAGCCGGCUGUGUCAUUCCUUCCAUUUGUAUC
rnacentral:lncRNA from 1 species